UUGCUGCUGCUGUUGUUGUUCUGCUGCUUGUUGCUUCAGCUGCUGCUGUGAUUUACUAUCGCAAGCGCCAAAGAAGAAGGACAGAUAUGGAUAUGCAGUCCAGUGAUCAGGAGAACAUGAAGAGAAGAUUGGAAAUGAGAGAAGAGCAUAAGCUGAAACUCAC